GAUGAACGCUGGCGGCGUGCUUAGCACAUGCAAGUCGAACGGUGAAGGCGGAGCUUGCUCUGCUGGAUCAGUGGCGAACGGGUGAGUAACACGUGAGCAAUCUGCCCCUGACUCUGGGAUAAGCGCUGGAAACGGCGUCUAAUACUGGAUACGAGCUGCGAAGGCAUCUUCAGCAGCUGGAAAGAAUUUCGGUCAGGGAUGAGCUCGCGGCCUAUCAGCUUGUUGGUGAGGUAAUGGCUCACCAAGGCGUCGACGGGUAGCCGGCCUGAGAGGGUGACCGGCCACACUGGGACUGAGACACGGCCCAGACUCCUACGGGAGGCAGCAGUGGGGAAUAUUGCACAAUGGGCGAAAGCCUGAUGCAGCAACGCCGCGUGAGGGACGACGGCCUUCGGGUUGUAAACCUCUUUUAGCAGGGAAGAAGCGAAAGUGACGGUACCUGCAGAAAAAGCGCCGGCUAACUACGUG
rnacentral:rRNA from 1 species